rnacentral:rRNA from 1 species
UACAGAGGGGGCAAGCGUUGUUCGGAAUUAUUGGGCGUAAAGGGUGCGUAGGUGGCGAGGUAAGUCAGGUGUGAAAUUUCGGAGCUUAACUCCGAAACUGCAUUUGAUAAUGCCUUGCUUGAGGACUGGAGAGGAGACUGGAAUUCACGGUGUAGCAGUGAAAUGCGUAGAUAUCGUGAGGAAGACCAGUGGCGAAGGCGGGUCUCUGGACAGUUCCUGACACUGAGGCACGAAGGCCAGGGGAGCAAACGGG